CCUACGGGUGGCAGCAGUGGGGGAUAUUUGACAAUGGGGGGAACCCUGAUCCAGCGACGCCGCGUGAGUGAAGAAGUAUCUCGGUAUGUAAAGCUCCUUCAGCAGGGAAGAAAGAAAUGACGGUACUUGACCAAGAAGCCCCGGCUAACUACGGGCCACCAGCCGCGGCAAUACGAAGGGGGCAAGCGUUGUCCGGAAUUAUUGGGGGUAAAGGGGGGGUAGAAGGGUAAGUAAGGCGUGAGUGAAAGGCCGGGGCUCAACCCCGGGACUGCACUGGAAACUAUUGAACUUGAGUGGAGGAGAGGUAAGCGGAAUUCGUGGUGUAGCGGUGAAAUGCGUAGAUAUUAGGAGGAACACCCGUGGCGAAGGCGGGUUACUGGACAGUAACUGACGUUGAGGCACGAAAGCGUGGGGAGCGAACAGGAUUAGAUACCCGAGUAGUC
rnacentral:rRNA from 1 species